UAGUUUCAAUUUACAUGUUUACUUAAGUUGAAUUUUGCAAUUUUUUAUUUUAGAACGUUGUUAUAAAAUGAUGAAGAGUUGUAAAGUAAAAAUCUUAUUUUUACUUUAUAGGUUAUAUUUAAUUUUAUUAAUUUAAUUAUUAUAGAUUAGCAAAAAAGAAAAAUGAACGUUAACCACGGAGAUGAAACUGAAGUUAACCACGGAGAUGAAACUGAAGUUGACAAUGAUGGGGAAGAUGAAAGUAAGUUUUAAAUUUUG